rnacentral:rRNA from 1 species
AGCUCACGUUGUAAAUCUGGCUUUCGGGCCCGAAUUGUAGUCUGGAGAGGCGAGGCCAGCCGGCGGCGGGGGCGAAGUCUCUUGGAAAAGAGCAUCAAGGAGGGUGACAAUCCCGUUCUUGCUCCCUGAUUUCGUCGCGCGUACGGCCCGUUUUCUAAGAGUCGAGUUGCUUGGGAUUGCAGCUCAAAGCGGGUGGUAAAUUCCAUCUAAAGCUAAACACGGGUGGGAGACCGAUAGCGAACAAGUACCGUGAGGGAAAGAUGCAAAGAACUUUGAAAAGAGAGUUAAAGAGUGCCUGAAAUUGCUGAAAGGGAAGCGAAGGAAACCAGUGUCUGUCAGUUCCGCUUCUCCUCCGCCCCUCGGGGCUCUGGAUUGCGUUUCUGGCGUGGCCAGGACCGGGUAGUGUUGCGGGAGCCUGCGCCUCGGAAGGUAGCCUCUCCUCGGAGGGUGAAUACCGUGGCGUGACGUCGCGACGCUGGCCGGC